CCUGCUCAGGACGAACGCUGGCGGCGUGCCUAAUACAUGCAAGUCGAACGAACUCUGGUAUUGAUUGGUGCUUGCAUCAUGAUUUACAUUUGAGUGAGUGGCGAACUGGUGAGUAACACGUGGGAAACCUGCCCAGAAGCGGGGGAUAACACCUGGAAACAGAUGCUAAUACCGCAUAACAACUUGGACCGCAUGGUCCGAGCUUGAAAGAUGGCUUCGGCUAUCACUUUUGGAUGGUCCCGCGGCGUAUUAGCUAGAUGGUGGGGUAACGGCUCACCAUGGCAAUGAUACGUAGCCGACCUGAGAGGGUAAUCGGCCACAUUGGGACUGAGACACGGCCCAAACUCCUACGGGAGGCAGCAGUAGGGAAUCUUCCACAAUGGACGAAAGUCUGAUGGAGCAACGCCGCGUGAGUGAAGAAGGGUUUCGGCUCGUAAAACUCUGUUGUUAAAGAAGAACAUAUCUGAGAGUAACUGUUCAGGUAUUGACGGUAUUUAACCAGAAAGCCACGGCUAACUACGUGCCAGCAGCCGCGGUAAUACGUAGGUGGCAAGCGUUGUCCGGAUUUAUUGGGCGUAAAGCGAGCGCAGGCGGUUUUUUAAGUCUGAUGUGAAAGCCUUCGGCUCAACCGAAGAAGUGCAUCGGAAACUGGGAAACUUGAGUGCAGAAGAGGACAGUGGAACUCCAUGUGUAGCGGUGAAAUGCGUAGAUAUAUGGAAGAACACCAGUGGCGAAGGCGGCUGUCUGGUCUGUAACUGACGCUGAGGCUCGAAAGUAUGGGUAGCAAACAGGAUUAGAUACCCUGGUAGUCCAUACCGUAAACGAUGAAUGCUAAGUGUUGGAGGGUUUCCGCCCUUCAGUGCUGCAGCUAACGC
rnacentral:rRNA from 2 species